GGACCUUACUAAAGAGACUGCCUCCAAAGAAUCUAGGCCACAUUUUUGGGGUUUGGAGGAUGCUUCGUCCCUCAAGUAGAGAAGAAGUGAUCCCAGAAGUGUUUCUUCCACCUAAGACAACACUGGAGGAUUUAUUGAGAUAUUGCUGGCAGGUACCUGGCCAUGACCCAGUGUGGUAAGAACAUUGCUGUGAGAACCUGGAUCACAGUCACCUUGGAAAAAGAUGUUGCCUCAUUGUGGAAAGAUUUUUAUAAUCUGCAAUUUGCAAUAGGCCCAGCAAUCCUUCCACUGACAGCCUUGAAAAAAUUAAAAAUAAAUUUAGAGUUUAUGCAUAAUAAAAACUUUAUGUACCAUAAAAAAAUUUCUGGGACUGUUCUAGGAUCCUUGUCUGAGAUACAUCUUCUGGAGAGCUUGUGUUUGGUGAUGUGUUGAUUUAAUUUUCCAAUCCAUGCCAAAUGAAAUAAAUACCUCUAUUUUUGAUCUGGUAAAAUAGAGUGACUGGCCAAAGGGAUUUGUGAUCAAAGGUUGCACUCCCUCAAAGACCAACAGUUGAAUGAUGUACUUUAGCAUGUUAUAGCCUCAGACUAGUUGACUAAAGACAGUUGGGCAUAUGCUUAACAUGAAGACAUAUAGGAAGGUAACAUUAAAAUAAAUAAUUCUGACUAUGCCCAGCUAGUCAAGCAUUGGCUUUAACUGCAUAUACUUUUAUCUGAAGUGGGUAAGCAGAAUUCAGAAUGUUCCAUUUACAGCAU
rnacentral:lncRNA from 1 species